rnacentral:rRNA from 1 species
GACAGAGGGUGCAAACGUUGUUCGGAAUCAUUGGGCGUAAAGCGCGUGUAGGCGGUCCGGUAAGUCCGCUGUGAAAGUCGGGGGCUCAACCCUCGAAUGCCGGUGGAUACUGUCGGGCUAGAGUGCGGAAGAGGCGAGUGGAAUUCCUGGUGUAGCGGUGAAAUGCGCAGAUAUCAGGAGGAACACCAAUUGCGAAGGCAGCUCGCUGGGACGUCACUGACGCUGAGACGCGAAAGCGUGGGGAGCAAACAGG